rnacentral:tRNA from 1 species
GGGGUGCUGGCGCAGUGGUAGCGCUUCUGAUUUCUGCUCCUACUUGAUUGGAUUUUUUCAAUUCAAGAGGUGGUUUACUGGGGGUCGGAUAAAUCUCCAACCACACACGUUCUACUCGCAAAGCGUCUUGUUUAACAUUGUCUGGCUUUAGACAAAAGUUCUCAAAGUAAACCAGGAAAAUUCAGGAGUUCAUCGGUUCGAAUCCGGUGCACCCCA